rnacentral:rRNA from 1 species
AUGGUUUGCCGUCGCUUUCCUCUCCUUCUAUCUUCUCAACCUCCUCGCGCACGCGCGCUCCGGCCUCCGCCGGGCCCCCGCCCACUGCCGCUCAUCGGCAGCCUCCACCUCCUCGGCGACAAGCCGCACCGCUCGCUCGCCCGCCUAGCCAAGAUCCACGGCCCGCUCAUGUCCAUCCGCCUGGGUGCGGUCACCAUGGUGGUCGUCUCCUCCCCCGCCAUGGCCCGCGAGUUCCUGCAGAGGCAUGACUCCGUGCUCGCCACCCGGUCCGUGCCCGACGCCACCGGCAAGCACGCGGCGGGCUCCGUCCCCUGGCUGCCCCCGGCGCCCAAGUGGCGCGCGCUCCGCAAGAUGAUGGCCACGGAGCUCUUCGCGCCGCACCGGCUCGACGCGCUCCACCACCUCCGGAGCGACAAGGUGCCACAGCUCACGGACCACGUCGCGCGACUGGCGCGCGAGGGCACGGCGGUGAACAUUGGCCGCGUGGCCUUCACGACGAGCCUGAACCUUAUCUCGCGCACCGUCUUCUCCAUCGACCUGGAGACUCGACGACCACGGCCGCUCUGA